GACGUAGGUGGCGAACGUUAUCCGGAAUUAUUGGGCGUAAAGGGUGCGUAGGCGGCAUGAUAAGUUAUUGGCGGCAAAUCGAGGCUCAACCUCGUGGAAACUGAUAAUACUGUCUUGCUUGAGUGCAGAAGAGGUUAACGGAACUCCAUGUGGAGCGGUAAAAUGUGUAGAUAUAUGGAAGAACAUCAAUAACGGCGAAGGCAGUUAACUAUUCUGUUACUGACGUUGAGGCACGAGAGCGUGGGGAGCAAAAAGG
rnacentral:rRNA from 1 species